GACGUGAUAGCUAUGUUCAAUGGCUUCACUAUAGUAACCAUUGUACUAUCUACAGGAAUCCCAUAACCUCAUGUUGUAAACCUCAAAUAUACACAAUAACAUUUAUUUUUAAAAAGAAAAAGGAAGUCUCCUGCGUGUUCGGGAGGUUCUCCCAGACACUGUCCACACACAUUGCCCAUGAUUCUUCCUGUUGGGUUGGAAUCAGGUGGUGAAUGGCACUGCUCCCUUAACCACCAUGCUAUCCAGUCACUAGAAUUUCUGCCUAUUCCUGCGAACACAUGACUGUCCACAAUCAGAUAGCAUCAGACAUGUCAAGGUCAACCAUCAGACAAACCAGCAUUUAGAGGAUAAGCAAAAGAACAGGGGACCCUGCCCUGGAUGAGACUCACAGUGGUGCUGAGGGAUGGAGGGAGUUUCUGCUCAGACAGCACAAGCACAACGGACACCAAAUAUGUGAUGGCAAACUGGGAGAAAAUAUUUGCAGCAUGUAUGUAGUAGGUGAAAAGCACUGUCUUUUGGUCUUAGGAACCCAGUUAAGGGAUCUACUUGAGAUUUAAGAAGCAAGAAAUGGAAUACCAGGCAAAAACAAUAAAGUUGCACCAAGGUCUAUAUGGGAUUGACAGCAAGACAUUUUAUCUGAGCCCUAGUCAUUGUCCUGUGCAUUCUGAACCAGGUAGGAACUAGAGUCUACAUUUGGAAGGAACUGCAAAUGAGUGCCAAGUGAUCCAGUUGAAAAAUUAGAGACAUCAGCAAUUCCAUGAAGAUGUCACCACCCUAAGUGUCAAUAGAAUCCCUGUUAUAAUAGUAGGAUAUUGACCCAUGAGUUGGAUAAAAUUUGUUCAU
rnacentral:lncRNA from 1 species